UCACCAUGGGCAUGUCCGUGAAUGUAAAGUCCACUGGGAAUGUGGCAGCGCUUCGGCGUUCUUUGGGUCAGAGAGGGUGAAAACCCCGUUUACAUUCAUUGUGGGGCGUGUCUGUUGUGUGGGCGUGUUGAAGAGUCGGAUUGUUUGGGAAUGCAAUCCAAAACGGGUGCCAAAUUCCAUCCAAGACUUAAUAUUAACUCGAGACCGAUAGGGG
rnacentral:rRNA from 1 species